CAAAAACAUGUCCUCUUGAAWUUAAUUUGAGGYCUGACCUGCCCAGUGAAAUUUUAACGGCCGCGGUAUAUUGACCGUGCAAAGGUAGCAUAAUCAUUAGUCUUUUAAUAGAAGGCUUGUAUGAAAGGUUUGACGAGGAAUUAACUGUCUCAUUUUAUUUGUUUUAAAAUUUAAUUUUUUAGUUAAAAAGCUAAAAUUGUAUUGGAAGACGAGAAGACCCUAUAGAUCUUUAUAUUAGUUUAAUUAAUUGGACUUAUAUCAUAUAUAUAAGUUGAACUUUUAUUUUGUUGGGGUGACAAAAAUAUAAAAAUAACUUUUUUAUUAAUAUUACAUUGAUAUAUGAUUAUUAGAUCCUUUAAUAAGGAUUGAUAGAGUAAGUUACCUUAGGGAUAACAGCGUAAUCCUCCUCCAGAGUUCAUAUUUACAGGAUGGGCUUGCGACCUCGAUGUUGGAUUAAGAUAAUAAUUAGGUGUAGCUGCUUAAUUUAYAGGUGCUGYUCGACCUUUAAAUUCUUACAUGAUCUGAG
rnacentral:rRNA from 1 species